rnacentral:lncRNA from 1 species
UUCUCUUUAGGCAUAAAUCCUAUAGGAGAUGGUAACAACUUAAAAGGAGAAAGAUGAUUUAGCACACACAUAACUUUAAAAGUAGAAAUAUAAGUAGUUUUGUGAACUACUUGAUGGUAUGUUUGCUCAUCUCUAGAGUUGUGUGUGCACAUCAUGAUUAUUCUAGGCAUAGUAGAAAGAGCUAGAUUUUCAAAUGUAUUUUGACCAUGCG